GCACCAUUCUGCCGAAAAGAAAGAAACCGAGCAACGCGGGCGGUAACGUAAACAGGAAGUCGUUUCUUUCCGCCCGGUGUGUGCUUUUGCAUCCGUUUCUAGUAAGCGCCGGGCUUUUCAGCCCAUGUGUUACAAGCUGCUCGAAGAGGACUUAACGGUUUCCAGAAGAAAAGGUUGAAGUGUGAAAAACAUCACUUUAACCUUUUCUUCCGGAAACCGCCACGUGGGCAACUGCACGAUCGUUCACGAAGUGUGUGACCUCACCGAUGCACCCGACUAUUAGGCAGCCGAAGGCACCCGAAGGCACCCGAAGAACGGCCGGAAAUGAUGGAAUUCAAAUCGAGAUGGAUAGACAGCGUGAUAGGGUACCAUCCGUAUGGACCAAGUGAGCGCAUGGCAUCGCAGCCCGACAACGAAUAUCGUACCACAUGCGCAGUUUUCCGAUGAUCCCACUCAACCCAAAGCCUAUAGGAAUAUCGUCCGAGCAGCAGAACACCGUCCAUCACUGUGCCGCGUGUGAUAUGAUCAUUUGUUUACAUCUUCGGAACAAGCAAGAGGUAGUGAGACUGUGCCGCGUGGCAGUGAUAUGAUCAUUUUUUUAAACCUUCGUAACAAGUGAGAGGUAGUGAAACCAAGUAAAAGUCCUAAGUAGAAAGCCUUUCCCACAAAGAAGUUGCACACAUGGGACAUAUAGUAUAGAGAAUUAUUAUUUUUAUUAUUAUUUAUUAUUACAAAAUGUUUGCCGUUCCGGCUUAACAAAUGCUCAAAGGAGAGAGAGAGAAAAAAAGAAAUACUUACAGACUAAAGAGGAAAGGUAUGUGUUGUUCUAUUAGUGUUUGCAGUACCUAAAAGCCACAAGUAUGUGAUCCCUGCCAAAAAUUUUUUUUCCUAUAAUUCUCGAGAAUAAAACAGCACUAGAGUAAGAGACUAUUUAUUAGUGCGAUGCUAUGUGUGAAAGAUGCUCUUAUCCACGACUCACUAUUUUUUGCACUAAGCUUCUCUUUUUCGCAAAUGUAAUUUUCAUUACAUCUUUAGCAAGAUAGUUCAUUCUUUCGAGCAAUAGCAAAGCCACUUUUUAAAGAAGAAGCAAUGUCAAGACAGGUUACACCGAAUGAUUAGAAAACGUUCCAUUGCAACGAUUAAUUCGUUUUUAAAAAAUCUAUUUAUUGUAUUUUUGUUUUAAAAUGACUGUGCUAAGUGCUUUUCACUUGGAU